ACAUCCCUGAUGAGGUCACUUCCUGUUCCUCCUCUCCAGUCAGUUCAGAUAAGUUGAGAUGAGAUGUCAGUUGGUUGUCAACGAUCACUAAGUCAACAUGAUCACACCUCUUAUCAUUAUCACUGCCCCACUAUUCUGGAUCACAGGUGUCUCUCUCAGUAAAUCAGUGUACCAGUCUCCCUCUACGUCGCUGGUGAAGCCUAAUGCCUCUGUUACACUCAACUGCAGUCAUAAAAUCCCCAGAUACGACACAGUCCUCUGGUACAAGCGUUCUGUGGAAGACACGGCUCUAAACCUCAUAGCUUAUAUAUACUAUAAAACCCCAACAGUUGAACCCUCAUAUAAAGGUUACUUUGACGUGAAAGGAGAUGGAGAGAACGAUGCCUUCCUUCAUAUCCUCAAACCGAGACAAGCUGAAGACAGUGGGGAGUAUUUCUGUGCUGCCAGUAUACACAGUGGUACAGAGACCUAGUCCACUCUACAAAAACCUCCCUCUGACACUACAUCAAAACACCUGCAUUAAACCACAUGAAGGAGCAGACUUCUGUUCAGAUACUAUCAACACCUGCAUUAAACCACAUGAACUAACAGACGUCUGUUCAGAGAGAGAGAGUGGGGGAGAGGAGACAGAAGGAGAGAGAGAGCGAGAGAGAGAGAGAAAGAGACAGAGAUUGGGGGGGAGAGAAAGAGAAAGAGAGAGACGUAGAGAGUGAGAUCAGAGCAAAUGCAUGGAGAUAGAGACAGAGAGAAUCUAGUUUCAAGGACCAAAUUAAAUUGAGAGGAAACGCAGAACAGUAUUGUGAUUUAAGUGUUUCCAACCUGACACAAGAGGACAGUGCAGUGUAUUUCUGUGCUGCCAGAGAGCACAGUGGAGCAGAUCCUGUCUCAGCCCUACAAAAACCACAUCUCAAAUACAAAGACACACCUCACACCUCCACUACAGUGUUCUGAACCAUAUAAACAUCCUCAACACUAAACAUCCUCAUUACUAAACAUCCUCAAUACUAAACAUCCUCAAUACUAAACAUCCUCAACACUAAACAUCCUCAAUACUAAACAUCCGCAAUACUAAACAUCCUCAAUACUAAACAUCCUCAACACUAAACAUCCUCAAUACCAAACC